rnacentral:rRNA from 1 species
GUCAAGAAUGGCAUUCCCAAGGCUGGUGAAGGUGUCACCUCUAUUGAUGUCAAGAAGUUCGUUCAACUGGACUCCACUGCCAAGAACAUCAUCUGUGGUCAUCUGACCAAAGUACAGUAUAGCCAUGUGAGUGCUUUGGAAACAUCUAAGCUAGUCUGGGACUGGCUCUCCAAGGUCAACGAAGGCGUCUCAACCCAGAGAGAUCAGAGAAUCAGUGUCCUUCGCAACCUCUUCAACCGCUUCAAGAGAAAUGACAAUGAGAAUGUUCAACUCACGUUUGAUCGACUCACUGACAUCACAAAUGAGCUUCAAGCCCUCGGCGCCACUGAGGUCACCAAGCAUGAAGUUGUCAAGACACUCCUGAGAUCACUUGACAGCUCGUUUGACACCCUAGCCCUGAUGAUUCAAGAACAUCCUGACUUCAAAACACUCGAUCCGUCUUACAUACUUGAGAGGCUCAACACACACGAGUUUCAUAUUUCUGAGAAAAGAGACAUCUACGGUCCCAACUAUGGGCGAACUCGUGCCUUUAAGGCAAAAGCUGUCUCCUCAUCUGAAGAAGAGUCUGACAGCAGUUCUGAUGAUCCUGAAGACAUUGGAAAGGAGCUUGCUAUGCUUGUGAAGAAGUUCCAAAAAUUCACCAAGAAGAAAGGCUUCAGAAAGUCCUCACGAUCAAGCUCAAGGAAUGAUGAAGCUUCUGCUCAUGACUACAAGAAGAGAACAUGCCACAAGUGCAAGAAACCU